AAUCGACUGAUUUCCUUAUAUGAACUGUAACUCAGUAAAAUCUUAGAAUUUUUUGCAUGUUGCAUUUAUAUUUUUGUCCAGUGUAGUAUUUGGGGGAACAAAAACAUCCAUGUUUGUUUUGUUGUGCUUUAGAAGAAGGUAUUAUAGCGUUUCACAUCCUAAGGGGGGCUUUAACCGAGAUGCGCUUGAGACUUUUUUUACGGUAGCAACAAUGAAAGCUCAUCUUAAAUGAAGCUCAAUCUCUCCUGUCUCUCAGUGGCACGUGGGAAAGCCAGAGCUCUGGCUCUAUGCCAGUGAGGCGACUGCAGAGAAUCCUUUCAGACGAGGAGCUGAACUUCCACGAGGAGACGUCCGGCGACGUGUCUGACCAAUCAGGAGACGGUGUUGGUGGAGACGGAGAAGAGGAGGAUAACCAUUAUGAACUGCUGCUGGAAGAGAGAGAAGAGGACAGCCACAGCCCCAGGGCCUGGAGAAGGAAGGACAAACCCCUCAGGAACAGUCUCAGGUAAAGAGAGAGAAUGUGACUUCCUCUGGGGUUCUUUCUACUUUACAUUGUUCUUAACUGUAUGAAUUUUUAAAAAAAAAUGUUUUAUCAAUGUGCUCAACUCUUAUCCUCUUGCGUAAAUACGUGAAAGGGUGCUUGGAGCCAAAGGCCUGAAAGCAUUCCCUAGAAGAUAAACGUUGCAAUUCAAGCUUUCUUUUACACAGGGACAGUCAGUCCUGCUGUCCAGAGAGUGUGACCACCACCACCGCCCGUAAGCAGCCAUCAUCUAGGAGCCAGCUCCAGAUCCAGCUCCAGCUGAGAGGCUGCUGCCCUAAGAGCCAGGGCAGAAACCAGGGAGCAAACCUGAGCAACACAGGGAGGAGAACCAGAGGCGAGAGCUAUAGGGGGGAUGGAGGUCCUGAUAACUCCAGGGGGACUGUGACCGUCCCCGAGCCGUUCAGGAUGAUGAUGAGGGAGGAGGAGAAGAAGAGGAGGAAGGUGAGGAGGUUGUUUAGUUGUAUUGUUCUCUAAAGAGUCUUGAAUGAAUAAUGUAACACAGCAUUCCAUAGGGAAUGUUCUACGUGUCAUAAAUACAGUAUAUGUAUGCCAGACGUGCUGAGCAAAUGUCCCUCUGGGUGUUUGGGCUAAAAGUACUAUAUAAAACUAAUGUAAUAUUGAUGCAUUAUUGUCAUUAAGGUCAGGACGCGUUCGGAGGUGGAGCUGGAGAACUUGCUGCUGCGCCGGGAGCUGG
rnacentral:lncRNA from 1 species